AGGACUCUCAGUACAUCAUCACACGCGACUGACCUCAUCUG
rnacentral:ribozyme from 1 species